UACAGAGGUCCCAAGCGUUGUUCGGAUUCACUGGGCGUAAAGGGUGCGUAGGUGGUGAGGUAAGUCGGAUGUGAAAGCUCGGAGCUCAACUCCGAAAUGGCAUUGGAAACUACCUUGCUCGAGGGUUGGAGGGGGGACUGGAAUGCUUGGUGUAGCAGUGAAAUGCGUAGAUAUCAAGCGGAACACCAGUGGCGAAGGCGAGUCCCUGGAAAACACCUGACACUGAGGCACGAAAGCUAGGGGAGCAAACAGG
rnacentral:rRNA from 1 species